GGGGAAUAUUGCACAAUGGAGGAAACUCUGAUGCAGCAACGCCGCGUGAGUGAUGAAGGUCUUCGGAUUGUAAAACUCUGUCUUAUGGGACGACAAUGACGGUACCAUAGGAGGAAGCCACGGCUAACUACGUGCCAGCAGCCGCGGUAAUACGUAGGUGGCAAGCGUUGUCCGGAUUUACUGGGCGUAAAGGAUGUGUAGGCGGAUAUUUAAGUGAGAUGUGAAAUCCCCGGGCUUAACUUGGGGGCUGCAUUUCAAACUGGAUGUCUAGAGUGCAGGAGAGGAAAGCAGAGUUCCUAGUGUAGCGGUGAAAUGCGUAGAGAUUAGGAAGAAUACCAGUGGCGAAGGCGGCUUUCUGGACUGUAACUGACGCUGAGGCAUGAAAGCGUGGGGAGCAAAC
rnacentral:rRNA from 1 species